rnacentral:rRNA from 1 species
AGUGAACGCUGGCGGUAGGCCUAACACAUGCAAGUCGAACGGCAGCACAGUAAGAGCUUGCUCUUACGGGUGGCGAGUGGCGGACGGGUGAGGAAUACAUCGGAAUCUACUUUUUCGUGGGGGAUAACGUAGGGAAACUUACGCUAAUACCGCAUACGACCUACGGGUGAAAGCAGGGGAUCUUCGGACCUUGCGCGAUUGAAUGAGCCGAUGUCGGAUUAGCUAGUUGGCGGGGUAAAGGCCCACCAAGGCGACGAUCCGUAGCUGGUCUGAGAGGAUGAUCAGCCACACUGGAACUGAGACACGGUCCCGACUCCUACGGGAGGCAGCAGUGGGGACUAUUGGACAAUGGGCGCAAGCCUGAUCCAGCCAUACCGCGUGGGUGAAGAAGGCCUUCGGGUUGUAAAGCCCUUUUGUUGGGAAAGAAAAGCAGCAGGUUAAUACCCCGCUGUUCUGACGGUACCCAAAGAAUAAGCACCGGCUAACUUCGUG